rnacentral:rRNA from 1 species
GACAGAGGGUGCAAACGUUGUUCGGAAUUACUGGGCGUAAAGCGCGUGUAGGCUGCUCGGAAAGUCGGAUGUGAAGCCCUGGGCUCAACCUAGGAAGUGCAUUCGAAACUUCCGAGCUGGAGUGCUGGAGAGGAAGGCGGAAUUCUCGGUGUAGAGGUGAAAUGCGUAGAUAUCGGGAGGAAUACCUAUGGCGAAGGCAGGUUACUGGGCCAUCACUGACGCUGAGCUGCGAAAGCUAGGGGAGCAAACAGG